rnacentral:rRNA from 1 species
CAGCCGCCGCGGUAAUACGUAGGGUGCAAGCGUUAAUCGGAAUUACUGGGCGUAAAGCGUGCGCAGGCGGUUCGGAAAGAAAGAUGUGAAAUCCCAGAGCUUAACUUUGGAACUGCAUUUUUAACUACCGGGCUAGAGUGUGUCAGAGGGAGGUGGAAUUCCGCGUGUAGCAGUGAAAUGCGUAGAUAUGCGGUGGAACACCGAUGGCGAAGGCAGCCUCCUGGGAUAACACUGACGCUCAUGCACGAAAGCGUGGGGAGCAAACAGGAUUAGAUACCCUGGUAGUCCACGCCCUAAACGAUGUCAACUAGCUGUUGGGGCCUUCGGGCCUUGGUAGCGCAGCUAACGCGUGAAGUUGACCGCCUGGGGAGUACGGUCGCAAGAUUAAAACUUAAAGGAAUUGGCGGG